GUAGUCAUAUGCUUGUCUCAAAGAUUAAGCCAUGCAUGUCUAAGUAUAAGCAAUUAUACAGCGAAACUGCGAAUGGCUCAUUAUAUAAGUUAUCGUUUAUUUGAUAGUACCUUACUACUUGGAUAACCGUGGUAAUUCUAGAGCUAAUACAUGCUAAAAAUCCCGACUUCGGAAGGGAUGUAUUUAUUAGAUUAAAAACCAAUGCCCUCCGGGGCUCUCUGGUGAUUCAUGAUAACUUCUCGAAUCGCACGGCCUUGCGCCGGCGAUGGUUCAUUCAAAUUUCUUCCCUAUCAACUUUCGAUGUUUGGGUAGUGGCCAAACAUGGUUGCAACGGGUAACGGGGAAU
rnacentral:rRNA from 1 species